rnacentral:rRNA from 1 species
GACGAACGCUGGCGGCGUGCUUAACACAUGCAAGUCGAACGAUGAAGCCGGAGCUUGCUCUGGUGAAUUAGUGGCGAACGGGUGAGUAACACGUGAGUAACCUGCCCUUGACUCUGGGAUAACUGCGGGAAACUGUAGCUAAUACCGGAUACGACCCUCGGAGGCAUCCACUGGGGGUGGAAAGAAUUUCGGUCAAGGAUGGACUCGCGGCCUAUCAGCUAGUUGGUGAGGUAACGGCUCACCAAGGCGACGACGGGUAGCCGGCCUGAGAGGGUGAUCGGCCACACUGGGACUGAGACACGGCCCAGACUCCUACGGGAGGCAGCAGUGGGGAAUAUUGCACAAUGGGCGCAAGCCUGAUGCAGCAACGCCGCGUGAGGGAUGACGGCCUUCGGGUUGUAAACCUCUUUUAGUAGGGAAGAAGCGAAAGUGACGGUACCUGCAGAAAAGGCACCGGCUAACUACGUGCCAGCAGCCGCGGUAA